UACAGUUUGUAUAGCUUGUAUGGGGUUUGUACGUGCUCAGAUUUGUACUGCGAGAUCCAGAGUGGUCCAAAGUUGUAGUAUGAAUGGACCUGCAGCCUGCAGCUCACAUGGAAGAAGACAAGAUCAACAUCACGUUAGGUUGAGAGUGGUCCAAACUCCAAAGUUGUUGUGUUGCUGAUAUGAAAUUAGGGGAGCAAGCAUAUAUGAGAUAGGUUGAGAGUAUAUAGCUCAAAGAGCAUACAAGAAAUUCCAGACGGUGACAAACAUUCCAGUUCCCA
rnacentral:lncRNA from 1 species